rnacentral:lncRNA from 1 species
CUUUCAAUUCUACGACUCAAUCAGAAACCCUAAUCUCGCCUCUUCACUGGAUUAUUUGCAUCUUUUGCUUUCCAGUCUGUCUUCUGCUCAUCUUAUCUUCAAUCUUGGGUUUUACUUUCUCUCUUCAGUCGGUUGCUGCAAGAUGGUUUAUUGCUCACCAACACCUUUAAUUCCAUUGAUCGCCCUAUCGUGCAUAUUUGAUUUUAAUGUUUGACCUAAAUGAUGGAGGAAUUCUGAUUUAUCUAUCAAAAGGAUUUCAUGUGGAUCACUUAGAGGUAACCCGUGACUUUGAAUGUUUGCUUGGGGGAAUAGUUCUAUGAUAGAGAGUUCUAUUUUAGAGUUGUGAGAUGCAAAACACACACAUGAAUAAGCACUAUCUAGGGACAUGAUCAUCUAUCUCUGGGCAUGCGAUUGACCAUCGUGGUCGCCAUCGACAUAGUGCCAGAGCUGAGCUUAGAGGUAGCACAGCCGAUCAGAGAAUCAACUUAUUGCUUUGGUGCAGAAGGUACAUAAUCCUUCUUUCAACACUAUUGUUUGAUUUAUUAUUAAUUCAAGUUUCACUAAAAACAUAACAAAAUAUAUUUCUUAAGAUGUUGUACUCUUAAGUUUUAAUUUAUUUUUUGUUUCAAUUUCUUUAAACAUAAAUAAUCAGUGUGUUGAACAUGGUUAAAUAACUUUAUUAUGAAAAAAAACUAUUCUAAAUUCUUUAGGCAAUAUGGUGUGUAGCCAAGCCUCUUGGUGCCCUCCUUCAUUUGGAUGAAUUUGAUUGGGCCAACAAGGCUAAAAAAUGGGGUCCAAAACUAGAGCCCUUUAGCGCUUGCCAUUGCCCAUCGUCACUCCACACCGAUUAGCGACUUAAGAGGUUGUAAGUAUUCAGAUACACUUCGAGUCGCUUUUUAUAUGACCCAUGCCAUUUUAACUAACUGUUUUUAUUUAGAAAUACACCGCAUCUCAAAUCAAUAGUCAGUGCUUUAAAGCACUAGAAAACAACACAGAUUGGAAAAAAAAAUAUUAACUAAACUAUUGCUUUUUUUUCUUUUUUUACUGCACUUUCUUUUGUUUUGUUUUAAUUCUUUUCAGUUUAAUUUUAUUAGAUUAUUUUUUUGUAUUUACUAAUUUAUUAUUUAGCAUAUCAACCCCACAAAAUAAAAACACGUUACCACUAUAUUUUUAGGAUUUCACUGUCGUUUAGAGGAGAAAGAUUUAGGAUAUUCCUUACUUAUUCUGCUCGCCUUAGGCUGUGCGGUGUAGGGAUCGUCCACGCCCCGUCCUGGAUCGGCGCCGCCGUCCCCCCAUUUCGCCCCCACCGCCGGCGUCCUGAACGUCCGCAUGAAGAUGUUGGAGACGGGCCUCCCCCUCUCUCACACACCUAUACAUACAAUAUAUACAUAUAUAUUUUAGGUCCAUCUCCCAUUUCCUUACCUCCAUCCUCUUUGCCCCAUCCUCGCACCCGAUCUACGUGGUGGACCAUCCUCCAAAGAUGGACCCAUCACCAUACCGCAUAGCCUUAUUAAAGCGGCUCACUUUUCACACGCUAACCAUAAUUAUUACUGUUAUCGUUAUAGCUUUUGUUUGUUCUUUGCAUUUCUAUAAUUGUGAUCUUCAGGUUGCCCAAAGUUGAGCUUGAGCUGAAAUUUAAUCUUCGGGGAAAAAAAAACUUGAAGUGUUACUUAAUCAUAUGUCUCGCAAGUAUUGAUAGUGUUUUUUCUAUUUUUAGUUUUAUUUUAAUAAUGGUUGAUUGAGAAUCAACUUAUUUCAAAUAUAAUCGUAAUAACUUUUUUUAAGAUGAGAUAUACUAUUGUUAGGAUU